GUUUCAAAGUAAACGAUAACUGUAUAGAGUUAACUCCUCAACUUUCUAUGGGAGCAAGUCAACACUAAACCCACAUGGGUACAGUACACUGCAACCAAACCAGGAAGCUGAAGUCACGUUAGAAGACCGACGCUGAUUGGCUGAUCUUCGCACUUCCUCCUUAAGGUCCCGCCUUUUGUUACAACGCCAUUGGUUGAAUCAAGAAUUUAGAUGAGCAGGAAACUGUACUGGGGUAAAAUACUUCCCUCGGGGAAUAAGUUUUCGCAGCUUUGUUCCGCUCUUAAUUGUAAAAAUAUAAAUAUCACAACACAAUAAUCGUAAACACACGUGUACCAUACACAGUAAACGAUAAAUACAGGAGCAGUAUUUCGCAUAUAUUCAACCGGAAACGUUUUGCACGGCUGUCAAAAAAAUAGCCGUAAUUGUAUCAGGAUCUAUGUACUGUACUACUGCAGUAGUACUACUACUUCCUCUACUACGCAGUAUUUGCAUUUACUGCGCUGCUAUCUGUCCUCAGUGAGUGUGGUUACUGUGUAUCCGUGAAAUAUAGCUGAACGGCCAGAUUAUCUCUUUCUUUCUUUUAUAACCCCCAUGCCACCCAAGAGAGACGCAGGAGCGACUCCAACACAACCACCAAUCAAGAUGAUAAAAAUCAACACUGAUUCACAGGAGUUUGGCUGUGAUACAGUGGAGGAUAAGUACAGGAUGGCUGAGGAGUCCAGCUAUUCCCCUUUUCCCAACAAUGAGCAUGAAACCAUUGAAUUUGAUGAAGAAAAUAUUGCAAGCCCAGGCAUCAGAACAGACACCAUCAGUCUGCUCAUGAAAAUAGAGCAACUGCAGGCACAACUCAAGUAUGAACGCAGAUGUAGAAUUUUGGCUGAGAGAGAGCUCAGGGAGCUGAAAGAGAUGAACACACUCAUGAUGCAGAUGAGGCACACAGCUCAUGAACUGCGAGUCACUCUGGAUCACGUUCUCCAAGGAGGCGAGGUAGCAGCAGCACCGCAGACCCCUCAAGAUGAAACUAUCUCUUACCUGGCUGAUACCGAGGCAGAUAUGAGGGAGGAUCAAGAUCUCCUCCCAGACGACGAUCAAAACUUCUUGUUUCUCUCUGAGACUCUUCGAGUACCAAAAAACCUUUAUGAGCGCAUCGCAGAAAUUGGAGACUACAAAAAGUACACGUCAGCUCUGCUGAUGAUACUUUUUGACCGAGAAACGUUGGGCACACACUCUCUGCAGGGCCGGAGGAACACCUUUUCACCAGAUGAUUGCCACAAGCCGCAACUCCCACCUGAGAUCUUGAGAGGUAUUAUAGAACAUGUGGCACUCAAGUUCGGUGUUGAUAGCGGCCAAAUAAAAACUGCAAUCCGCACAAAGUUGAAUAAUGAGGACAAACUAUUAAAAAAGAGAAUGGGUAUAGGUAGAGCUGAAAGCAAAGCUAUUAUCGAUCAAAGCUUUUGCCAAGAUACUUUACUCCUGUCUGAAAACGGAACAAUGACGAACGAUUCUCAGUUAUAACCUCUUGAGUCUGGCUUCAUGUGUUGGUCACCAGGUUUUCAUGUCUGAUAGAAAUGUGUGACAGCCUUUUUAAUCCACCUGUAGUUUAUUCUGUAUUGAACUCUAGUGUUUGGAGUUAGUUAGUUUUUUCUUUUAACACUUUUUAGAAUUCUUCCAUUUUUAAAGCUAAUGUUGUCUGUCGUGUGUUCGAAAGUGAAAAGUUUAAUCUGGUGACCCAACCAAGUUUAACAGCACUAUAAAAUGUCACAUGUGUAAUCGUCAGUGGUAAAAACAACCAAGUGUUCUUAAUUAAUUUGAGGUAGUAAGUGGCUUUGUCUAAAUUACGUGAAGUCGAUCUUUGUCAAACAUUUAUACUGGUUUAACUUUUCAAUCAGCUGGCCUCUGUUUGUUUUGAAAGUAGGACUUUUGAAAAUGUUUCAAAUAAUAGGGGUGCUAUUUUUUACCCUGUAGUUCAUGACAAACUGCAUUACACCAAGUGAUACUGUGUUUCUAGAAUAGUUUUUUUGCAGUUGCAAAAUAUGCUGUAAGUGAUACUUAAUCUUCCUGCUUCCACCACAUCUCUUACAUCACUUCUCUGUCUGUUGUGCUUACCUACAUAAGGGCCAAUAAACUUUCGGAGCUGAUAUCCUUCUGUUAUCUUAACUUGGACCCUUUCUUACGUCAGCACAGUAAAGUACAGCAUGCUCUCUUGGAAAUGUUGUUUUCUCGCCGGCAACCAACAGAUGUCAGCGCCGAGCCCUUAUUCAGGCUCUUCUGCAAGCAAUGAUUAACUCUCAAAAGAGUACAACUGUGAAUUUAAGGUUACUAUUACUUAAAAAAUGUCAAGAAAUAAGAUUACCUUCAUUUAAAGAAGACUGUGCAAAUUGGUGAAUGGACUGAACAAAUCUAACCAAUACUGUGUGUGUGUGUGUGUGUGUGUGUGUGUGUGUGUGUGUCUGAGAGUGUGCAUUCUCUCAGAAGCUCUGGAGAUAAUAGGGGAGUGUGUGUAAAGACAGAGGCAUAGUGGACAGUGUGUGACAGUCACUGCCACAUCCCGACUGAUGAAAGAGUGUGUGUGUGUGUGUGGGACAUGGUUAAUGUUAGCGGGUGGGGGUUUGAUAGAGUCAUCUUGUCAUGAAAGAUGUGAUUUGAACAAUCACUAACUGUUAGCUCCUCCCCCUCCUCCUUUCGCUCCGCCAGCUGUGCUGUCUCAGCGGACGCACUGCACAUCACCUCUCUGUCAGAGCCGCUCUCCCUGGGGUCCUUUACUAAGGCUUGUAUGUCUGUUUCUUUCAGAAAUGUUCCCUUUUUACUGUUUUUGCAUAGCUCUCGGUUGAUCUCUGUAAGGUGGACCACAACUAUUAUACACCUGAAAGAAUUCAGAGGACAAUCUUCACCAUGAUUUGGAAGUAUUUCACUUUUUCAACUUUACAAAACUUUUUGGAGGAGCUACAGCUGAUUUUCAAAAUGUAAGAGUUGAUUG
ensembl:lncRNA uncharacterized LOC115008186